rnacentral:rRNA from 1 species
CAGCAGCCGCGGUAAACCGUAGGAGGCAAACGUUAUCCGGAAUUACUGGGCGUAAAGCGCGCGCAGGCGGCUUUGUAAGUCCGACGUGAAAGCUCCCGGCUUAACUGGGAGAGGCCGUUGGAAACUGCAGAGCUUGAGGUUGGGAGAGGAAAGUGGAAUUCCCGGU